AACUUUCGGCAACGGAUCACUUGGCUCCGGCAUCGAUGAAGAACGCAGCGAAAUGCGAUAACUAGUGUGAAUUGCAGAAUUCAGUGAAUCAUCGAGUCUUUGAACGCACAUUGCGGCCGCUGGCAUUCCGGCGGCCAUGCCUGUCCGAGCGCCACUAAACACCCUCGGGCCCCAGCGCCCGGCGUUGGGGGUGCCGCCCACUAGCGGCGGCGCCCCUGAAAGUUAGUGGCGGCGGCGCCUGCAGCGACGCGCGUAGUGACUUAUAGCGCGCAGCCCAGGCGACGCCUGCUCCCUAGCGGACCCCCGCACCCCAAUCUGAAGGUUGGCCUCGGAUCAGGCAGGACUACCCGCUGAACUUAAGCAUAUCAAUAAGCGGAGGCU
rnacentral:misc_RNA from 1 species